rnacentral:rRNA from 1 species
GGANUUCGGUCCGUGAGUAAAGUGGCAGACGGGUGAGUAACACGUGGGCAACCUGUCCGGAGGUGGGGGAUAACUCUUCGAAAGGAGAGCUAAUACCGNNUGAUACGCGCGAGGUUUCGNCCUUGCGCGUCAAAGCUUGCCUCUUCUUGAAAGCUAGCACCACCGGAGGGGCCCGCGGCNCAUUAGCUUGUUGGUGAGGUAACGGCUCACCAAGGCGACGAUGGGUAGCCGGCCUGAGAGGGCGAUCGGCCACACUGGAACUGAGACACGGUCCAGACUCCUACGGGAGGCAGCAGUGAGGAAUUUUGCGCAAUGGGGGAAACCCUGACGCAGCGACGCCGCGUGGAGGACGAAGGCCUUCGGGUCGUAAACUCCUGUCAAGUGGGACGAAUGCCAUGGGGAUGAAUAAGCCCCGUGGCUGACGGUACCACUGGAGGAAGCCCCGGCUAACUCCGUGCCAGCAGCCGCGGUAAUACGGAGGGGGCCAGCGUUGUUCGGAAUUAUUGGGCGUAAAGGGCGAGUAGGCGGCCUCGUCAGUCGGGCGUGAAAUCCCGCGGCUCAACCGCGGAACUGCGCUCGAAACUGCUUGGCUUGUGUCCCGGAGAGGGUAGCGGAAUUCCCAGUGUAGCGGUGAAAUGCGUAGAUAUUGGGAGGAACACCAGUGGCGAAGGCGGCUACCUGGACGGGUACUGACGCUGAUGCGCGAAAGCGUGGGGAGCAAACAGGAUUAGAUACCCUGGUAGUCCACGCUGUAAACGAUGGGCACUUGGUGUUGCGGGUAUCGACCCCUGCAGUGCCGAAGCUAACGCAUUAAGUGCCCCGCCUGGGGAGUACGGUCGCAAGGCUGAAACUCAAAUGAAUUGACGG